GAUGAACGCUGGCGGCGUGCCUAAUACAUGCAAGUCGAGCGAACGGACGAGAAGCUUGCUUCUCUGAUGUUAGCGGCGGACGGGUGAGUAACACGUGGAUAACCUACCUAUAAGACUGGGAUAACUUCGGGAAACCGGCGCUAAUACCGGAUAAUAUUUUGAACCGCAUGGUUCAAAAGUGAAAGACGGUCUUGCUGUCACUUAUAGAUGGAUCCGCGCUGCAUUAGCUAGUUGGUAAGGUAACGGCUUACCAAGGCAACGAUGCAUAGCCGACCUGAGAGGGUGAUCGGCCACACGGGAACUGAGACACGGUCCAGACUCCUAAGGGAGGCAGCAGUAGGGAAUCUUCCGCAAUGGGCGAAAGCCUGACGGAGCAACGCCGCGUGAGUGAUGAAGGUCUUCGGAUCGUAAAACUCUGUUAUUAGGGAAGAACAUAUGUGUAAGUAACUGUGCACAUCUUGACGGUACCUAAUCAGAAAGCCACGGCUAACUACGUG
rnacentral:rRNA from 1 species